rnacentral:lncRNA from 10 species
GGCUGCUGGCUUUUAGCACCUGGUGGGUUUCGCGCCUUGCAACUCGACAACUGCCGGGACGGAGUCUGGCUGCGCGACCCCCUGCGGCAGGUGCUGGGCGAGGCGCCUCCCCUGCAACUAGCCUGCCGCUUCCCUCCCGGCACCCCCGCCGCCAGCCCCGAGCGCGGACCUGGAGCGGAGAAGAGAGGUCGGUGCCUCCAACCCGGGGCCGCGGUCGAGGGGCGCGCGUCGUUGCUCUGGGACUCACUGUCGACCAACCCCCAUUCCUCAGGGGCUCGGCUCCUUCCCCAAGGCUCAGGACGUAGAGCUUGGGCGGGGCCCCCUGCCCAGCAGCAGUCAGCGGAGCUGCACGAGUCAGACUCCACUUCUGGUGCACCUGGUACCUUGAGUCUUGCUCUGUUGCCCAGGCCGGAGUGCAAUGGUGCAAUGUCAGCUUACUGCAACCUCCACCUCCCAGGUUCAAGCCAUCCUCCUGCCUCAGCCUCCUGAGUAGCUGGGAGCCAUCACGCCCAGCUAGCCAUCUUCUAAUUUUCAUUCCUUCAAAGCUCCUGCCCCGGAGCCGGGCCCUGGCGAGGCAGGAAUGGCCCCGAGGCCUCCGACCGCCGCGCCCCAGGAAUCAGUGACAUUCAAAGAUGUGUCUGUGGACUUCACCCAGGAAGAAUGGUACCAUGUCGACCCUGCUCAGAGGAGCUUAUACAGGGAUGUGAUGCUGGAGAA